GAUGAACGCUGGCGGCGUGCCUAAUACAUGCAAGUCGAGCGAACGGACGAGAAGCUUGCUUUUCUGAUGUUAGCGGCGGACGGGUGAGUAACACGUGGAUAACCUACCUAUAAGACUGGGAUAACUUCGGGAAACCGGAGCUAAUACCGGAUAAUAUUUUGAACCGCAUGGUUCAAAAGUGAAAGACGGUCUUGCUGUCACUUAUAGAUGGAUCCGCGCUGCAUUAGCUAGUUGGUAAGGUAACGGCUUACCAAGGCAACGGUGCAUAGCCGACCUGAGAGGGUGAUCGGCCACACUGGAACUGAGACACGGUCCAGACUCCUACGGGAGGCAGCAGUAGGGAAUCUUCCGCAAUGGGCGAAAGCCUGACGGAGCAACGCCGCGUGAGUGAUGAAGGUCUUCGGAUCGUAAAACUCUGUUAUUAGGGAAGAACAUAUGUGUAAGUAACUGUGCACAUCUUGACGGUACCUAAUCAGAAAGCCACGGCUAACUACGUGCCAGCAGCCGCGGUAAUACGUAGGUGGCAAGCGUUAUCCGGAAUUAUUGGGCGUAAAGCGCGCGUAGGCGGUUUUUUAAGUCUGAUGUGAAAGCCCACGGCUCAACCGUGGAGGGUCAUUGGAAACUGGAAAACUUGAGUGCAGAAGAGGAAAGUGGAAUUCCAUGUGUAGCGGUGAAAUGCGCAGAGAUGUGGAGGAACACCAGUGGCGAAGGCGACUUUCUGGUCUGUAACUGACGCUGAUGUGCGAAAGCGUGGGGAUCAAACAGGAUUAGAUACCCUGGUAGUCCACGCCGUAAACGAUGAGUGCUAAGUGUUAGGGGGUUUCCGCCCCUUAGUGCUGCAGCUAACGCAUUAAGCACUCCGCCUGGGGAGUACGGCCGCAAGGUUGAAACUCAAAGGAAUUGACGGGGGCCCGCACAAGCGGUGGAGCAUGUGGUUUAAUUCGAAGCAACGCGAAGAACCUUACCAAAUCUUGACAUCCUUUGACAACUCUAGAGAUAGAGCCUUCCCCUUCGGGGGACAAAGUGACAGGUGGUGCAUGGUUGUCGUCAGCUCGUGUCGUGAGAUGUUGGGUUAAGUCCCGCAACGAGCGCAACCCUUAAGCUUAGUUGCCAUCAUUAAGUUGGGCACUCUAAGUUGACUGCCGGUGACAAACCGGAGGAAGGUGGGGAUGACGUCAAAUCAUCAUGCCCCUUAUGAUUUGGGCUACACACGUGCUACAAUGGACAAUACAAAGGGCAGCGAAACCGCGAGGUCAAGCAAAUCCCAUAAAGUUGUUCUCAGUUCGGAUUGUAGUCUGCAACUCGACUACAUGAAGCUGGAAUCGCUAGUAAUCGUAGAUCAGCAUGCUACGGUGAAUACGUUCCCGGGUCU
rnacentral:rRNA from 1 species